GGGACACGUGGUAUCCUGUCUGAAUAUGGGGGGACCAUCCUCCAAGGCUAAAUACUCCUGACUGACCGAUAGUGAACCAGUACCGUGAGGGAAAGGCGAAAAGAACCCCGGCGAGGGGAGUGAAAAAGAACCUGAAACCGUGUACGUACAAGCAGUGGGAGCACGCUUAGGCGUGUGACUGCGUACCUUUUGUAUAAUGGGUCAGCGACUUAUAUUCUGUAGCAAGGUUAACCGAAUAGGGGAGCCGAAGGGAAACCGAGUCUUAACUGGGCGUUAAGUUGCAGGGUAUAGACCCGAAACCCGGUGAUCUAGCCAUGGGCAGGUUGAAGGUUGGGUAACACUAACUGGAGGACCGAACCGACUAAUGUUGAAAAAUUAGCGGAUGACUUGUGGCUGGGGGUGAAAGGCCAAUCAAACCGGGAGAUAGCUGGUUCUCCCCGAAAGCUAUUUAGGUAGCGCCUCGUGAAUUCAUCUCCGGGGGUAGAGCACUGUUUCGGCAAGGGGGUCAUCCCGACUUACCAACCCGAUGCAAACUGCGAAUACCGGAGAAUGUUAUCACGGGAGACACACGGCGGGUGCUAACGUCCGUCGUGAAGAGGGAAACAACCCAGACCGCCAGCUAAGGUCCCAAAGUCAUGGUUAAGUGGGAAACGAUGUGGGAAGGCCCAGACAGCCAGGAUGUUGGCUUAGAAGCAGCCAUCAUUUAAAGAAAGCGUAAUAGCUCACUGGUCGAGUCGGCCUGCGCGGAAGAUGUAACGGGGCUAAACCAUGCACCGAAGCUGCGGCAGCGACGCUUAUGCGUUGUUGGGUAGGGGAGCGUUCUGUAAGCCUGCGAAGGUGUGCUGUGAGGCAUGCUGGAGGUAUCAGAAGUGCGAAUGCUGACAUAAGUAACGAUAAAGCGGGUGAAAAGCCCGCUCGCCGGAAGACCAAGGGUUCCUGUCCAACGUUAAUCGGGGCAGGGUGAGUCGACCCCUAAGGCGAGGCCGAAAGGCGUAGUCGAUGGGAAACAGGUUAAUAUUCCUGUACUUGGUGUUACUGCGAAGGGGGGACGGAGAAGGCUAUGUUGGCCGGGCGACGGUUGUCCCGGUUUAAGCGUGUAGGCUGGUUUUCCAGGCAAAUCCGGAAAAUCAAGGCUGAGGCGUGAUGACGAGGCACUACGGUGCUGAAGCAACAAAUGCCCUGCUUCCAGGAAAAGCCUCUAAGCAUCAGGUAACAUCAAAUCGUACCCCAAACCGACACAGGUGGUCAGGUAGAGAAUACCAAGGCGCUUGAGAGAACUCGGGUGAAGGAACUAGGCAAAAUGGUGCCGUAACUUCGGGAGAAGGCACGCUGAUAUGUAGGUGAAGUCCCUCGCG
rnacentral:rRNA from 1 species